AUGCCAGACAUUGUUCUAAGUGUGGUUCUAAGCCCUGGGCCCCACCCACAGGUCCUGCCCUCGAGUCUGUCUGUGUGUUCUGUCCACUGGUUCUGUCUGCAACUUUCAUCUGUGGGCUCUGUCCACAGGUUCUGCCCGAAGGCUCCAUAUGCAGGCUCCAUCCCUGGGUCCCGUCCCCAGGUUUUACUCUCGAGUCUGUUUGUGGGUUCUAUUCAUUGGUUCUCUCUGCAGGUUUCAUCCAUGAGCCUUGUCCGUGGGCUCCAUCCAAGGACUCCAUCUGAAUUUCCCCAUGUUCCAUCCCUACCCUCCAGACAGAAAGACACACUCAGUAGCCCUGGGCCAUGGGAUCUGGGCAGCAGGAAGGAAGCAAGGUCAGCUAUUCUUCUUCUUUUAUAUGGGCCCCUCCAGAGGUCUAACCAAAGAAAGGGGGCUUCUGGGGGUUUCCGGCACCUUAUUUCUGGCUGGUGCCCCGAAGGGCCAAGGGCUUUUACCAUUUUUCAGUACGUGGUACUUUCUAUUUAUUGCCAUUGUUCUUGUCUGUCCGUCUCCCCCGAUUAGACUGUAAACCCGUCAAACGGCAGGGACUGUCUCUAUCUGUUGCCGACUUGUUCAUUCCAAGCGCUUAGUACAGUGCUCUGCACAUAGUAAGCGCUCAAUAAAUACUAUUGAAUGAAUAAACACUUCCUCUCGUGCUUGGAGGGUGGUUCGUAUUUUGAAGUGCAGGAAGCAAUGAGUACAGUCAUUUCCCAAAGACAGUGUAAUGUUUAGCAUGUGGGCUGCAUGGAUGAGGCUAGACGGGACAGAUUUCAGAGCAUGGGCUGGAUGGGCCGUAUUUUGGAAAUAUCUUUCAUUCAAUCAAUGGAAUUUAUUGGGAGCUUACUGUGUGCAGAGCACUGUACUAAGUACUUGGGAGAGUAGAAUACAGCAGCCCUUUUUAGACUGUGACCCUGUUGUUGGGUAGGGAUUUUCUCUAUCUGUUGCCAAAUUGUACAUUCCAAGCACUUAAUACUCAUUCAUUCAUUCAAUAGUAUUUAUUGAGCGCUUACUAUGUGCAGAGCACU
rnacentral:lncRNA from 1 species